rnacentral:rRNA from 1 species
AUUGAACGCUGGCGGCAGGCCUAACACAUGCAAGUCGAGCGAGCGGCGGACGGGUGAGUAAUGUAUGGGGACUGCACGAUAGAGGGGGAAAACUACUGGAAACGGUGGCUAAUACCGAAUACUAUCGGAAAACCCAUAUGGGUAUAGAUAGUAGGUGGGGUAAAGGCUCACCUAGGCGACGAUCUCUAGCUGGUCUGAGAGGAUGAUCAGCCACACUGGGACUUAGACACGGCCCAGACUCCUACGGAGGCAGCAGUGGGGAAUAUUGCACAAUGGGCGCAAGCCUGAUGCAGCCAUGCCGCGUGUAUGAAGAAGGCCUUAGGGUUGUAAAGUACUUUCAGCGGGGAGGCGUUACCCGCAGAAGAAGCACCGGCUAACUCCGUGCCAGCAGCCGCGGUAAUAC